UACGUAGGUGGCAAGCGUUGUCCGGAAUUAUUGGGCGUAAAGCGCGCGCAGGCGGUCCUUUAAGUCUGAUGUGAAAGCCCACGGCUCAACCGUGGAAGGUCAUUGGAAACUGGAGGACUUGAGUGCAGAAGAGGAAAGUGGAAUUCCAAGUGUAGCGGUGAAAUGCGUAGAGAUUUGGAGGAACACCAGUGGCGAAGGCGACUUUCUGGUCUGUAACUGACGCUGAGGCGCGAAAGCGUGGGGAGCAAACAGG
rnacentral:rRNA from 1 species